rnacentral:lncRNA from 1 species
AAAAGAGGCAGGAAAGACUUAAGGAGGAGGAUGGAGUCUUAAGGAGUGAAACUUGAACUUCACGCUGGGUUUGCUGACCUUGAACAUGCUGGAUUCUGCUUACAGAAUUUGACAGCUGCUUCAUAUCUUUGGUUUUACUUUUCCUCUUUGUUAUUCUCUUGGCAAUUAGAAGAACCGAAGAGGCCAGAGUCCUCCGAAGACGCCUGCUUGGAAGUUGAGAUGCUGUUGCUGAAACUGCUAGAAUGCCAGGCAUGCUAUCACCUGCAGCUUUGAGACGUCACGCUGACAGUAUCACAGGAAAACAGCCUUUUGUGGGCCGUCCUCUGUGUGUUCACACCGUGUCGUUUUUAAGCUUUAAAGGAAACUGACAAAAGCUUCUUUUCUCUCUGUCUUGAGCUUCACUGCGUAUUCUUAACCAUGUGGAGCUGGGAGCUAACGCAUCACAGCCAACUGUAUCUGGAGUGCAUUUGCUCAUAUAGCCCUUAUUUUAUUUUUUAGUCUUAUUUUUAGUUUCCUUUGAAUAUAAUAAUAAAAAAAAAAAACCCAAUCAUUGAAUUCUUAGCUUCAGCCAAUAUAGUGUGAGGUUAGACAUAUUG